GGGUGGUAAUGCCGGAUGCUCCAUCACACUGCAUGGUGUGUUGGGAAAGCCUUUGCGGCAUGGGAUGGGGUCGCGUCCUAUCAGCUUGAUGGCGGGGUAACGGCCCACCAUGGCUUCGACGGGUAGCCGGCCUGAGAGGGCGACCGGCCACAUUGGGACUGAGAUACGGCCCAGACUCCUACGGGAGGCAGCAGUGGGGAAUAUUGCACAAUGGGCGCAAGCCUGAUGCAGCGACGCCGCGUGAGGGAUGGAGGCCUUCGGGUUGUAAACCUCUUUUGUUAGGGAGCAAGGCAUUUUGUGUUGAGUGUACCUUUCGAAUAAGCACCGGCUAACUACGUGCCAGCAGCCGCGGUAAUACGUAGGGUGCAAGCGUUAUCCGGAAUUAUUGGGCGUAAAGGGCUCGUAGGCGGUUCGUCGCGUCCGGUGUGAAAGUCCAUCGCUUAACGGUGGAUCCGCGCCGGGUACGGGCGGGCUUGAGUGCGGUAGGGGAGACUGGAAUUCCCGGUGUAACGGUGGAAUGUGUAGAUAUCGGGAAGAACACCA
rnacentral:rRNA from 1 species